rnacentral:lncRNA from 1 species
CGGGCUGCGGAGGCAACCGUGGUAAGCUGUGCUUGCAUCAUGUUUGGAAACUGUCGUACUGCGCGAAGCUUUGCAGCUUCCCUCCUUAAAGGCAGUGAGAUGGCAAACCCACUGGGAGGAAUGAGAAACUCCAGGCGCACCACCUUAAGAGCUCGUGACACUCACUACAAAGGUCUGCAGCCACUCCUGAAGCAAGCGAGACCACAAACCCACCAGCAGAAAGAAACUGAACACGUCCAAACAUCUGAAGGAACUAGCUCCAGACACACCAUCUUUAAAAACUGUCACACUCACUGUGAAGGUCUGCGGCUUUAUUCUUUUAGUCAGUGAGACCAAUUCCAGACACAAGACCAUCUCAUCUCAAGAGACCAGGACGUCCGGGCACCCCUAGAAUGUAGCUGCUGGCAGAGCCUGAAGUCUAUCCAGCUCAUGCUCUUCCCUGAUAUCCUUGACAGAUUGUGGGAUGGUUCAGCCUCUGCAAGGACAUGGCCAAUGAUGGGGGGCUGGUUUUGGGGGCAGCACUCUAGGCAAGGGAAGAAAUAAAGUGUCUGGGAACUGGCGUGGUGAAGGGGCACUUUGUGGAGAAGAUGUGUUCACAUUUGGAUGUGUCGAGGGUGGAAUGAUAUGAGGAAAGUCAAAGGGUGCCCACCCCCAGAGCCUAGGUGUGGGCACAGCACUGCACCACGCCUUAGGGGAGAUUGGACUCUGGGCAGAGAUCCCAAGAGAAGCAGGAGUUGGAGUCUUGGGGGCCAGUGUGAUAGGGAACUAACUUUACUUUAAAGCCAAUUUGUCAGUAAGAAAAAACGAGGUGCACCUUGUAGGAGAAAAAGUCACAAGCUUGGUGUGCUUGAAGUCACAAGCCUUGCUGUGCUUGGUGAGAGGGAUCCCGAGUGUACUUGAGGCACUCUCCUGUUUAAAAGGGGAACGGUGGUUUUCUUUUCUCAGUGUAGGUUAGUGUAAAAAAUCUGCUUUGUAAUUGCAUAAGGUCUCAGCACAAACAAAAUCACAGAAAAUGUGAAAUGUAUUAUAACAGUCAACUUGCUUAGAAUGUAGUUGAACCUGCAUGCAGUAUUGAGACACCAGACAACUGUUUUCAGUCUCCACAUUUCUUUCAUUUCCUUUAUGAAAGUUACAUUAAGAAAAAAAAUAACUCCCUUGAGUAUUCUGAUAUUUUCGGUGAGUGAAACAGUAAUCUCAGCAAAGUUCAAUCUUGGUAUCAGACAGAAUUUCAGGUUGUUUCAUCUAAUUGCCACUUAAUACCAAAGACAUGAUGUUUAUUAGCAUGUAUUUCUAAUGAGAAACUAUUAUAGUCGUCCUCAAUUGUCUGAAAUAUGAAGCGGAAAAAGAAAAUUAUGAGCCCCAGAUACCAGACCAGUUGCUGAUCAGAUAGAAUAUCGUGGUUCCAGCAUAUUAUGAAAUAAAAAUUCAAAGACUGAAUACCAUGCAAAAGGUCAAUAUUCGGCAGCAUCUGAGAAGUCAUACAUCUAGAUAGACCUAAACUAUAAGUGCAGAAGUGCUACAGUAAACUAUAUGGGCUUUCUACUAAGUACUGGCUAAUUUUAAAACAUACUGAAAUUUAUGUACAUUAGUCUUUGUUAUAAGAAUUGAGAAUCCGCAUUGUAUUAUAAAGUUGAUCUACAACAGUCACUUUAUUAUAAAAUAUUUUCGGCCUGGCGCGUUGGCUCACACCUGUAAUCCCAGCACUUUGUGAGGCCGAGGCAGGCAGAUCACCUGAGGUUGGGAGUUCAAGACCAGCCUGACCAACAUGGAGAAAACCCCAUCUCUACUAAAAAUACAAAAUUAGCCGGGCGUGGAGGCAGGUGCCUGUAAUCCCAGCUACUCCGGAGGCUGAGGCAAGAGAAUCGCUUGAACCUGGGAGGCGGAGGUUGCAGUGAGCCAAGAUCUCACCAUUGCACUCCAGCCUGGGCAACAAGAGUGAAACUCCAUCUCAAAAAAAAAAAAAAAAAAAAAUUCACCAGAAGGAAAGUGCUUACCUAUUUGAACAACUCUGUACGGGUCUAUACAGUAUUCCAAGGCUCUUCAAUAAGCACAUGGUGAUGACCCAGGUCAGUCGUGGCAAGGUUGGGGAAUUAGAACAAACCUCUGUGGCAAACACAGAUUAUAGCUUGAAGUGAGCAUCACGGAUUUCUACAACAAACACUCUGACAAAUAUUUCCUGUGAUAAACAUCCACGUUCUCGAGGUGGGACAAUUAACCCAAACUUUCCAAAUUACAUAAAAACUUUUGCUCUAUCUAAUUAAGCUGAUAAAUUCAUUAUUUUAAAUGACAACAUACAAAAGAAGUAUAGAUUUUUACUUAAAACGUAUUGGAUAUGUGGGUAUUCUCUUGUCUUUCUAAGCAAAUGCUAAUAUCAGUUCAGUGCUUAACAAUGUCAGCAGCAACUGGGCCCUCUAAGUCUCCUGCUACUGAAGUUUGAGGGAUCAAGCCUCACCGUAAUUUUGACAAAGACUAAAUUCAAGAUGUCUGAGGCUUACAAUUUUCUUAUUCUACUUAAUGAGGUAGAGAAGUUCAUUUGGAAUUGAGCACUCCAUUAGACUGUUUCAGCUAAAUUUCAGGUGGCAUUUUCUAACAAUAAGAGCUGUUGAUGCUUUGGAAGGCAACAGGUUUGCUUCACUGGAAGUGAUGAUGGCCUUCCAGAAAGGGUGAGGCAAGGUUUUCUAAGAUCUCAUCCAACUAAAUGAUUCAGAAAGCGCCAGCCUGGGGAUUCCAGGUGCUUGUGACUCGGGGAUCUUUCUGCCAUCCCACCUCACCUGUUAGUCACCUUUUGAAAUUGGGUAUGAUUGAAAUGGAGUUUAGGGAAUGCUGUAAUAAUAUAUCUCUUGCUUGCCUAAUUCACAGAAACGUGCACAGGCAAACUGUGAUGCUAAGUGGGGGCUUUGAUCCUUUGAUGCCGGGCCCUCCUCCCACCCGGAGCCAUACCUAUUUCUCCCUUGCCCGUUCUCCUGCCUCUGCGUUCAGAUGUGCUUCAGGCCUGAGACAGGAGGAACCUAUCAAUGAAGGAGGAAAUGUUCCCCAGCUCCUCAAACACGAGGCCUCCUUCUGCAACUCAACUUUCUGCUCCCAGGACAGGAUAAUCUGAAGACCCCACCGCUUCACCUCAUCUGAAGACUCAGUUAAAGAGGAGCGGGCAGGCAGCUGGGGGAUUCAUUCUCUGGGAGUGGGAGCAGAAGGGAGCCCCUUGUCUUGUUUUUGUUCCUUCCCAGUUGACCCACAGCUGGAGUGCGGGCUGGGCAAGUAGGUGCUGGGCAACUUCUGGGGAGACUCAGGCCUCCUUAUUGGCCAUCACAAAGCCCCAGAGAAAAAGAUGCUUCCAAAAACUGCAAGAUAAGAGGAACAGGUAAAGGUCAUGGGAGGAUUAAGUAGAGCACAGCAGGCUGCUUCACGAACCCUCUGUGGCCUUCCCCAGGUGGGCCAGCAUGGCAGCUGCUAACAUUGAGUCUAGGCCAUCAGGCAAGGUGAAUUAGGGACAGUACCAGUGGGGAAAGUACCUCGGUGUAGCCCAUGCACUGUCUGCCACCCACCCAUGAAGUUCAACCUCUUCUAGUGCUCUUUUCUGUUUUCAUGGUCCUGGAGUGACUUGACCUCAUUUAGUCAUUCUAUGAUUAUCCCAUUUACAGGCAAGGAGCAUUUUUAUUGUUGUUAAUGCUCUUAACUCUAGCAAGCUAUGAAUUUAGGACGUGUCUGUGCCCUUUGGCAAACUUACUGUCUCCUUAGGAAUUUUGUGCCCGAUUUCUUUUGCUCUUCCAGACUGCUGCCCAUGCUCCUCUGCCCUGCCGAGCACUCUGGGAGAUGGACCUGGUUGGACACUAGAGCUCCACCCUGCAGCUUCCAGGUGGGCUCAGUAGAUGGAGAUCCUGGAGGAGACUGUAGAGCAGCUGCUGGCACAGUUGUCCUGGAGCUACCUGGGCCCAGAUGCCCCAGCUCUCUCCAUGCAGACCAUUCUACCUACCUCUCCUCUCAUACUGGGCUCUCCGUGUAGCAGACUCAUGUCUGUCUUGUGCACUGCUGUGUUCCUGGCACCAUGGGGGAGCGUGGUGCAGAGCAAGUUUCCUCAGAUGGCCCUUUGUGGAUGGACUACAGGAGCAGAGAUGUGCAAGAAGCAAGUUUCAGAAGGAAUUCAAACCAAAAUGUAGAGUUUGAAGGCAACAGUGACCUUUGCAAUCAUACCUCCCUGUUAUUCAGUAACAAAGCCACCACCAUGUAUCAAGCACCCACAGGCCACACCUGUCUUCUGGACGAUUUUCGGGGCAUCAUAUUUCAAUGUUCUGUCCAUUUCCAGGCACAAAGUGCUUUCACUCACAUUCGGUCCUUGCUGCAACUGCAAGCCACUGAAGACAGGUGUGUCUGAUCCCAACGUGGAGCCCACAGUAACAGCAAGCAGCGACUGUUGCUUGUGCAGGAGGCCCUGUGUGCCACAUGUUGCUCUUCACUACUGAUCAGGGCUGUUUACGUGGGUCCCAUCACAGCUGCUCUGUGACUAGGGAACUUGACGUCUCCAUUUUUCAACUGAAAACACAGAAGUACAAAGGGGUUCACCACCUUGUCCACGGUUGCCCUGCUUCUAACUGGUCAUGUUGGAAUAAAAACAAGCAACUGUCAUCCGGGAUAUUAACCACGCAGGCUGUGGUGUUGCAAAGCAGGGGAGCACGGAGCAGGGAGCAUACCACCCUGCUGAGAUCAGCUCACUCACAAGUGGCAGGGCUAGGGCUGCAGUGCAGCUCACUUACGGGCACUGUGUAAGCCUGAAAGCAAAGUCCACAUCCAAAGGUCGUAGUGGCCCCAAAACAGCUUCCUGACCUGCUUCUGUGGUCCCAGACCUCUUGCUGCUGAGGUACCUUAGCUUUCCAAUUACUCUUGCCAAUUCUGCCUGCCCAGUACUGCUAAAAGGCCACUUCCCUCCGUCCCAUGGCCUCAAACACACUUCAGAGAGAAUUUCUGGGCACUUUCAGAAGGCUGGUCACUACAGCACAAAAGAAGUCAAAGUUAUCGCGUUAGUGCUCCCAAAUCUGAGGCACAGUUUGGAGAUGGGGGCUCUGAGUCAAGGGGCAGGCUGGGGACUGUUCCGGUGCCUGUGACUAUGGGACUGAGUCAGUCACAGCCCCUCUCAUUUUCACCAGUGAAGGACAUAAUGUAUACAGUGUUGCAUUUCCAAGACAAAGUGCCUUAAAUUGGCUUAGGUCAGCAGACUACAGAAGAAACAGGAUAUUCGAGGCCCCUGCUUGGAUAGCUGAUGCCUGCUUGUAGGCCUCCCCCUUUCCCCGCUUACCCCCCAUUAGUUGCCUUCACCAGAACCGAAGAAGUUUAGUCUAAAAUGAAAGCUUACUACUAGCCUGCAAAAUAGCUCCCUUUGUCUGUUCUUAUCAGCCAGCCCAGCUACUUAGGUCGUAAGUGAAAUACUUGAAGAGCCCCUGAGCUGACUAGGAUUGCAAUGCAUUGUGGGCUGUGACAAAAUGCAGCAAGACAACCCUAAAAACAAACAAACAAACAAAAACACCUAAAGCCCCUGCCUAACAAUCAAUAGGUGACGUCCAGGAAGGUUGUGACCCCAUAGUACUCAGCCUGUGGGAAACUGGGGGAGGAGCCUGCACACUAGUGGACAAAUUGCUUGUUGAAACUGCUGGGUGUGCCUGUCCGUCAGACACCCGAUUUUGCAAGACUGACUGUUUAUUAAAAAUCUCACUUUCGCU